rnacentral:rRNA from 1 species
GACGAACGCUGGCGGCGUGCCUAAUACAUGCAAGUCGAACGGUCUUUUCUAUGGAAGCUUGCUUCCACUGAGAAGAUAGUGGCGAACGGGUGAGUAACACGUGGGUAACCUGCCCAUAAGAGGGGGAUAACAUCCGGAAACGGGUGCUAAUACCGCAUAGUUUUCUUGAUCGCAUGAUUGAGAAAGGAGAGACGGCCUUUGUGCUGUCGCUUAUGGAUGGACCCGCGGCGUAUUAGUUAGUUGGUGAGGUAAUGGCUCACCAAGACGAUGAUACGUAGCCGACCUGAGAGGGUGAUCGGCCACAUUGGGACUGAGACACGGCCCAAACUCCUACGGGAGGCAGCAGUAGGGAAUCUUCCGCAAUGGACGAAAGUCUGACGGAGCAACGCCGCGUGAGUGAAGAAGGUUUUCGGAUCGUAAAACUCUGUUGUCAGAGAAGAACAAGUUGGAGAGUAACUGCUCCAGCCUUGACGGUAUCUGACCAGAAAGCCACGGCUAA